GAUUACAGACAUCCUCAGGGAGGAUACCAAGUAUUGAAAUGUCCGGAUGAAUAAAAGAGACAGUCAUCUGUGCAGCAUCAAUGCAAAGAAAGACCACAGAAGAGCAACAGUGAGUGAAACUGAAGUCCUGCUUGAGAUCCCUGGAUGAGUACUCCAGGUUGACAGUCUGGAAGGACGAGACAAGGGAGUCCUAAACAGAGGCUGCACCCCUUCAGAUAUCAGAGGUGAUUUGCAGACAGCGAUGACGAGGGUCCUGUUAUUUCAAUGGAGGCCGACCGAGAAGUUGUAUGCCAAAUGGUACUGGGACACACACAGGCUGGUCUGGCUAAUGUGAGAAGACCAACCAAUGCCAAGCUGGAGUGGAAUUCUUCCAGGACAUUCAGG